CCGUGACAGUCACGUAUUUAACUGCGUGAGAGCUGGAGAAGCAGAAAGUAUCUUACUUUACAACUGCUACUCCGGCGGCCUUCUAUUGUAAUGUAAACAAUCAGGGUAACUGUGUGCAUUUCAAUUUUAACAAUGCUUUAUUGUAACAGGCCUAAGUAUUUAUAUUGCCAAGUUGCUUGGGGCUUGGACUCCAUCCUGCCGUAGGAUAGACGAGGGGCCGGGAUGCCGAGAUGGCAUACCCCCCCUUUUGGAGUCCAGACACUGGUGGUGGUGGUAGAGCCUAAAUUGCGCCAGGUUUUUCUGUAGAUUGGAGGUGUCAGGGGUGGUGGCGGGUCACUUUUGGUGUGUGCUGAAAUGACAACUGACAGCAAAAGAGAGAAGAACAGUUUUUAACGUUUGCCUGCCCCGAUGCAAUUGGUUUAAGGUAACGACACCCACGUCUGGUUGAUUAGGGGCGGGGUCAGGUAGUACCAGCCAGCUGGCCGCACGGCCCCAGGGAGAGGAGGCCAUCAGGGAAUGGCACAGCCUGUCCAGUCUUCCUGACUGAAUUUUCGCCUAAACUUCAUUUCAAUCCGGAGAGAUUUGUUGAAAUUUUAACAAUGCUUAGACCAUGCUAGGCCUUUCCGCAUGUAAUACCUGGCUGCCUCCAUGUAGUGCUCUAUCUGACCUUGUCCUAUGAGAGCAUCAAGGUGUGACACUGAGGGACUGUAAUGGGUGCUUUGUGGGUCUCGGGGCAGAGCCUCUGGAAAGUCUGAAAAUCAAAACGGGAAAGCAAGUCAGACAGUUUGUUAUGCUGUCCGGGCACGUGCCGGGCAGUGAUGAUGAAGUUGUUGGUGACAGCGGACCAUGUGAUGCCUCUCAUGAAUGGCAUGAUGUCUCGGGCCGAGGAGCGGCCUUUGUUGACAAUGUCCACCACUGCCUGGUUGUCGCACGUGAUGGAGAUGCGCUUGCGUGUCCAGUGUCGUCCCCAGAUGAAACAGGCCACCGCCACUGGGUAGAUCUCAAACAGCGCUAUCGAUGUUUCAAAACUGCAAAAAGCGGUUGGCCAGUGGCUGGCGAACCCCCUGCGGGGAAUCUAUCACCAGGAAGUCAUCCAGCAGGAAGUCAUCCAGCAGGUGAAGUACUGACGGGACUUUGGCCCUAUUCAGCAGGAUCCAAGGGAGCGCUUCAGACACUUUGUUAAAUAUGCAUGGAGUGCUCCUGCACCCAAAAGUUAACCGCACUGCAAAGUAGAACGCCUCCCACCGGAUCCAGGAGAGAUGCCAUUGAGUCAGGUGUGUGGGUACUAUUUUAAAUGCAUCUUUUACAUCCACUUUUGAGAGCCAUGCACCUUGACCGGCCAUUUUAAAUCAAGUUUAUGGCACUGUCGGUUGAAGCCUAACGGAGGGGAAAUAGUUCUGGGGGAAUAAGGCUUUUGAUGCUCGGAAUAGCGCUAGAAUGUUGCUCAUAGAUCGAAAAUUAAUCUUUUCUUACCAGAGUAUUUGUCCGUAGCAAUGCCUACUGGACUAGUAUGAAAUACAGAAUAUGGUGCUGCCUUGAAGGGGCCCACGAUGUACUUCCUCCUUACCUCUUCUUUGAUUAAGUUGGUGACAGUCCCUGGCUCUUCCAUUGCGGAUUGCAGGUUCUUUGCUAUGUACGUUCUGGUGGGCUCGCGACGACGCCUACGUGAAACCCCUGUGAGCAAGUGAUUCACGAACCCCCGGUCGGGUCGCAAAGAUAGCUCUGUUGCCAGUGCCGCAAUGUUUAUUGGUGUUGGGGGAUGUAUUCUCAAUGUUUUUGAACCACGUGGUCCCCCUCGUAGACCUUGGAUGCGCCUCCUUGCAUAGGCUGCAGAUAGCGGCAAUUUUUGUAUGUACAGACACUCAAUAAAACUGAGGCAUACAGGAGAGUAAUCUAUAUUUGGGACCUCGUGCCCUCGGCUCACCUGUUGCCGCAGCGGUGGUUGUGCGCCGUGCCCAUGGGAUGUUGACUGAAAUGCCGCCACCGGGCAUAGUGGCGUGACCCGUACGGCCGCACAAACUGCAUGCCAGUGGUUGCAUCCCCACGGCGACCAUCAGCAGUAGCUCCAUUACGGACCAAGCUAGCCGGUUAUUGUAUUGCCUUAUGAACAAUGCUGCUUUCCUAGCAAAUGCUUUGGGGUACGGAUAAAACACAUACCCCCCGUAAUUGACGCUGACAUCACCGAUUAGUGCCAUGUAGGCGUCUAACUCCUGCCUUCUGUCUGGAAAUACGGCGCAAACAACGUCCCGGUAUACUCCAAACGCAACAAAGAAUUGCCCGAUCGAUAACUCUGUUCAGUCGUGGGUCUGCUACGCUAACGUAGCGCACUCUGGGGAUGGAAGGAUGAUGGAAACGAGAUUGAUAUCUUUGCCCGCAGGCGUGUUGACACAUUCGAAGCCUGAGAAAUGUAUGUCCUACCCUGUGGACGAUCAGGUACCGCCGAUGCCAGUAAAUGCUGCGCCGCUUCCCCUUGUGCAGAUGUAGCAGGUUGAACCACCAUGCCGGCUAUGGGCCCCCUGGAAUCCUGGAUGUCUGCGCUGAAUGAGGUGGAUGGAAUGGGCUGCCUGUCCCCUAGGUGCUGCAGGCGCGCCUCGAUGGUGCCCAUCGUGUUAACCAAUGUUUGUAAAGUUGCGAUUACCGUGGCGUCUGGACCCGACGUGCCUGCCAUCGCUGGUGGAGAAUUGCACUGGGUUCUAGUUUUUCUCCGCCUCGCCUGCGGUGCCAGUUUUGGUCCCAACUUCCGGGUUCGCUUCCGCCCUGGCGCGGGAGGCAGGGAUCUCUGCGCUCUCCACCUGCUGUGAGUCUUACCAAGUCCUGCAGCUGGGAGAGAGGGAGCCCCGGUGCUGGAGCCACGCCGCGAUUCUGCAGUUGAGUAAGAAUAAUUUCUCGCUUGUUCGUUGUGGAGCCGCUGCGCCUUGUGAAACGAGCGCUCCUGCGCCGGCCGCUCGGUGGGUUGCUGGCAGCAGCCUCUCCAGUUCUCAUGGUUGUUGAGACUCGCGUCUCCGGAAUAGAUCGCUAUCCGAAUCUGACAUUCAUUUUGCCGUCACGAUCACUGCUAAUCCAGACAAAAUAUCCCUAUUUCGCCUUGGUGUGUGCUGAAAUGACAACUGACAGCAAAAGAGAGGAGAACAGUUUUUAACGUUUGCCUGACCCGAUGCAAUUGGUUUAAGGUAACGACACCCACGAUAACGACACCCACGUCUGGUUGAUUAGGGGCGGGGUCAGGUAGUACCAACCAGCUGGCCGCGCGCCCCCAGGAAGAGGAGGCCACCAGGUAACGGCACAGCCUGUCCAGUCUUCCUGACUGAAUUUUCGCCUAAGCUUCCUUUAACCAAGCAAUUACUAAUGAUUUUUAACCGACUAAUGCUCUUGCAGGAUUUCAUUCUGAUGUUUGGAGAGGAUGUAUCAGGCAAGCUUCCGGAGAGGUGGCAAACUACAAUCAAGAAAAACAUAAUCCAACGAUGCUGAAAGCUUCCAUCCAACAGUAGGCUUAAGGAACAUCUGCUGGCAGCUGAUCCGCCUGAGAAUCCCACUGAAGCCGAUCUUGACUUUUGUAAGCAGUUUGUUUUAUUGCACUCAAACUUAAAAUAUAUCAACAUGUGUAAACCAUUGCAUAUCAGCAUUGUUUAUGAAGCUGGGUUGAGAUUUAAAUCAAAACCUCAAAGGCACUGAAAUGUUUGGCUCAGUUUAACAUUGCAGAUCUGCUGGUGUUGCAGGUUUGGACAGUGACUUGUCUUGCAGAUGCACCUUAUUCCACCUUCUGCUCAAGGUUGUAAAAAAACAGGAAAGGUGUCUGCAUCCCAACCAAAGAAGCAUUUUGUGGCAUUCAAGAAGGUUGGUAUUUUUCCUUAAUUUAUGACAAGAAUUUCAAAUUCUAUAUAAAUUGUUAUAAUUACAACUAUAUAAUUGUCUCUCCAUGUGUGUUUGUCUUGUCAGACUGGAACAAACAUCCAAGAGCACCGUGAUGCCAUCACUACGAGUACUCCACCCUACCUCCUGAUAUUUCGAGCAAGGAAGAAUGUGAUCCACCAGUUCUUCACCCUUGACAAGAAUUCCAUACCCCACAGGUCAACCUCUUCUCUUGGUGCUUUUUGAUGAACUGUUCAAGGCACAUAAAACGCCAUGCUACACAACACGUACACGUUCAUCCAAACUGCUGUCUAAAAUAUUGAUGUUGGCAAAGUCAAAGAGUCCUUGUGUUGCCAAAGUUCAUGGUUACUGGAAAUAUAUUCGCCUUAAAUGUGCGCAGACUGGAUGUGAGUGUUUGGUACUUUUUUCAGGUUUUAGGAAACAUUUACACACCAAACAAACAGUAUAUUGACCAAGAAGUUCACACUGAUGUUAAUUUAAGCAUCGUAGGAGAGUUGAUGUAGCAUGUGAGAUGCCUGUUUUGUACGACUAAAGAUGACAAUGUAUUACUGUUUGGAAAAUUGCUGGAAAUUGUGUGUUUUGAUCAGUAUUGCCAUGCCUUUAAGGUCAGGCUGCAUCCUGACAAGAUUAUUAAGGUAUUGCACAUAAAUUGGCUAUUUACUUGAAACCAUUCAAUGUUCAAAUAGAGUGUAGGCCAUUCCCCCUUUUUAAGGAAUGUCGUCCCUUAUUGCCAUUUAAAGCCGAUCGAAGGUCAAAUGUUUUGCAUUGUUUCUCUGCACGAUAAAGAGCUGUGAGAUGCAUUAUUUGGUGUUUUUGUGAUUUUACUAAUUCAUGGCGUUUGAAAAAGCUGUAAUGAAUACAUUUGAUGUAAUUUGAUACUGAGGAAAUUAUUUGUAAUUAGUGUUAAUUUUCAGUGACACUAAGCAGUGUCAAUGGAUGGUUAGAAUUUCAGUGUGUCAGUGCUGUUUUCACAAUAAGAGUAAAUUGUCAACACUGUAGUGUAUAACAUGAGCACUUACCGGAGUAAUUUGUUGUAUUGUUAAUUUUGUAUAACUAUAUAGUGUUAAUGAUAAUUUCAAUUUAACUGAGUUGAUUUGUUGUCAUAGUUAUGAGUUAAUAUCACUCAUAGUGUUUAUAAUUUAACAAUUUCAAGAGUUAUUUAACCUGUAGUGUUAAAUUUCAUUAACACUAUACAGUGAGUGGUGUUACAUUUUUACUCUAGAGUUAAUUUAACUCUAAAAUUUCAACACUUGGGCAAUAGUUAAUGUUAAGGUUUCGGAAGCUCUCGAGGGAGGACUCAAUCCUUUGUUCUCGUCCCGGCCGGAAACGAGGACACGAAUGAGUCAAUUCGUUUAAAUUCAAAAAUCAAAAGUUAUUUAAUAACUGAACAACGUAAUAGGGAUUACAAUUACAAAGUGAAAUACUAAGCGAACAGUGGAAUAUUUCGCGAAAUAGAGAAUCCUCUGAGCAAGUCUGAAGUGACUUAUCAACGCGGCUGCAGGAAAAGUUCUAACAGUCUUUUCCCCGCCAUGGUCCUUUGAAACCUCUUGAGGUGUGUCUUCCUUGGUGCAUUUGAAUGUCAUUGGCCUCUUCUCCAAAGGGUCACCUCCUCCAUUGUCCCUUCCACGUCGAGGUGUGAAGCUGCAGCUGUAACCUGAAACCUCACUGUACUAGCUGUCCCUCACAUUCCAAUGCACUCAAUGUAGAUACAUUCGGCUUUAUGCCCCAAUGAGUGAAUUUAACAAAGCAUACAGCGUUUAAGUCUUCAUCUUAUAACUAGUACACUUUAAUUACAACAACCCAUCAUUAAUGAUCACCGUUCAUCACACUUCAUCAUAAGAUCUAAAACAGUUCAUGUGGUUCAAUUCUCAAGACAUUUGCCUCAGUCGGCUGCCUUGAAAUAAGUUGUUCAUUUAUUACCUGACAGGAGAAAAAACUCCCAAAAAACCCUUUUUGGGGAUAAAAUUGGGAGAAAUCCAUAAAGAACGGCAAUUGGCAUCCGUCCCCAGGUUUUAACAUCACAUUGUGACAGAACGUUAAUGUGUACAGUGUUUAUAUGAUUUAAAUGACUAUGAAUUGUGUUUGAUUGAAAUUGCAUUCACUUCAUCUAACAUGUUAACGUAAUAACUAAUAUCUAAUAACACACAAACUAUAAUUCUAACACUAAACAUUAUUACACGCACUACAAAUUCUAUGACUAGGGGUGCACUUCUGGCUUAAAUCCCUAACAUUAAUUUAACACCAAUUCCAAUUGGGACCAAAUUCACUCUGGAAAAUUUUGUUAAAUUCUACUUUUCGAGUGUCACUUUAACACUACAAAAUUGACUGUGUACAUGUUUUAAAGUACUUAUCUGCUUAUAUUAUUUCAUAUAUUAUAUAUUUUUUUUUAUCCCUCUGUGUAACAUACGUGGCAAUAAAUGAUUUCGGAUUCUGGUGUAGUCAGGUAGCUUAAUGGAUGAACUGAUGGAAAACAGGGCUAUUUACAUGCUGCAACAUGACUCAUUUUUAACAGAGAAGCGUGUCAUUAGUAACGGAAUAGGCUGCUAGUGAUGACACACAGUCAUCUCAGAAGAAGAGAGGAAGCAAGAGGUCUGCGUAGAUGGAUAGCUGUGAAAGAGAAAGACAUGGGAAAUGCCUAUAUGAGAAGCAAAAUAAGAGAGGAGGUGUAAAUAUGCAUCGCCAAGGGCAAUGUCAUUGCCUCUUUGUAUCAUUCAGCUCCAUCUCUUUCAGACAUUUUCCUUUUUAUACACAUCACAGCCAUGUGUGCAAUGCAUGCUCUAGACAGCCAUUGUCAGUCUCUGGUGCAUCAAAACCAACAUCAGCGCUCUCCAAAUUAAUUACUAGCUCUCUCCCUGGCCUGCCUCUGUAAUAAGUCUCCAAGGGAGCAGAAGUGAUGGACUAUACCGUGUCAUCAUCCUUUCUCCACAAAGGCUGACAGCUGUUUUCCCCUCAGCCGUGGUCUUUCCAUUCCCAAUACACCCCCCAUCACCACCGUGUGAUGUGUGGGGAGAGAGGAUGAACCUGUGAAACAUUCACUCUGUAUUGGUUUUGUGUUGAGGAGAAUUAAGUCAUGUUCCAAAAGAUGGUCCGUGCCACAGAAAUAGUCUGUGUAACUCGCUGGCAAAAUGUAGAUGUGAUUUGAUCAAAUGUUUGGUCAUAGUGAAGCAGAGUAUUAAAAUGAUGACAUGUUUGAAAUGGCCCCGGGUGGGAAACUUUGAUCAGUCGCCCUCCUGCUACCCAGUCAAUUAUGACAUGUCAACCUCAACAACACGCUAUUCCAUAAAUUGCAGUUGAGCUAGGUUACUUUUAACAAAUGGGUCUGAUAUUUAGUAAAUUUGGAAACUCGAAAAGCAAAUUAUGAAAUGAUGAGUUAAGACAUGCACAUAUGCAUAUUCCUUCAUAGUUCUUUAGAGUGACUUUCCAAACCCUCUUGGCGACUUUUUGUGUCAAAAGCGACCAGCGACCUUUUCUGGUCUGGAGGAAACGUGUAGAGCGAGAAAUUACGCUACGCUCUGAGGGUGAAGGGCAAAAGUGCCCCCCCCCCUCCCAUGAAAUCCGACCAUGAGAAGGAAGGGAAUGUUUUGAAAGGGACACACACAUUCGCUAAGCAUUCAGCAUUCAAAAACCUCUGGGAAUUAUGCAUUCUUUCUGACAGAAAUGUAACUUACAUCAGCCGAUUCAGGGUGGAAUUGCUGUGCUGUUUUUAGCCUUGGUUUUGUUGUAGCGCUCUAGCUUGGACCGAUGAGGCAAUAAGUGUACAGAGUAUGUUCGGUUUUGGCCGAAAUUCAUAGAUUGUGAUUAGACAAGGAGAGUCAUUGACCUCAUACAGUCUGAGAGGGCCAGAACUAAGAGAAUGGUGCAGAAAGGCUUUUACCAACAAAACCAGUUACAAACAAUGCUAAAUACCUGUCAGAGCUUCUGGAGCAACAGGGGCUGUCUGAACUUUCUGUCAUCAUGAUGCUGAUGGAGGUCACUGCAAAUGCAAACUUGACCCAUUUUACAAUUCUCUUAUCAGUAGCUCUAGUCUGAUUCGUCAAGUUGAACGUUUAUAGCAUCAAAUCAAAGUUUACCUUUUAUUCCCAGUUGGCAUUGCGUUCCCGUGAGAAUAGAUUCGGGAGAACGGUCAUUUCCGCAAUUGGAACAGCAGCUGACUUGAUGACAUGGUCUUGCUAAUGUAUUUUAAUAGUUUCAUUUCAUUUUCAUUUAAACUAAAGAAUUCUGUAUAUAAUGGAUUAGAUAUAUAUGGAGUAAAUAUAUUAUAUAUAAGACAUAAAAUAACUAGGCAAAAUAUCUCAAUGGAUCAGAUCAGAGUUCUUACACAGUCAAACUGUUAUGGGUCAGCUGCCGUUUUUCCCCAUCCGGGGCGUUUGUAUCUUUUCCCCUGUGUGUGUGUGUGUGUGUCUGUCUGUGCUUCUCGUCCCCACCUAACAAGAGGCGUGGUUUCCUCUUCAUAAGAGGUGUUGGAUACAGUAACAAUUAAACAGUUAAUAUUUUAUUGGCUAGGACUACAUUCCAAAAACACACAAACCGUUUGUCUUCCUGUUAAACAUCAAGAUGGCUAAUAAUCAGUGGGGUGGUCCUCGUCCAGGUUAAAUGCACAAACAUUACUAUGAAUUAAAUUGAAGAUGUACCUGAACCUCUUUUGUGUCAUUAGAUCAUUAGUGCUUAAUAGGGGUGUAACGAUUCAUUCACUGAAUCGAUUAAUAUUCCUGCGAUCCAACUGAAUCAAUCUGUGCUCUGCAAAUCGGCAUUCCGGACGACAUAUAUUGAUUACAAAUCGAUUUGAAAUGGUACAUAAUCGAUUGUAUCGAUACUUGGAAACUGCACAUCGGAUUUAAGUACAAAAACUGUAUGGAUGUGUGUUUGUUUGUUUUUUAGCACUUUAGACACGUUAAACGUUACUCGAUUCAGCUCGAGUCUGCCUGUCUGUGACGUCAGUAGUACGCAGCGGCAGCCGCGCGAAACUCGGAACAACAACAAAACACAGCGUGGAGGAGAUGACUGCGAGCAAGACAUUUACAAACCAACUUAUCGAUCCAGCGUGUGCAAACACGGAGGUGUUCUAAAUAAGUCGGUCGCUGUUUGUAGAAUAUGUAGAAGCCAAAUAAAAAAACACAGAAACACAACGAAUCUUUCCGGCCAUCUACUAAGGCGCCGUGGGAUUAAACAACGCCAACAGUCAGGCACCUCUAGCAGCGUCACCGCUGCAGCAGCAGGGAACUCCAGCUCUGCAGACACCUCAGGCCUCGCCAGCACGAAACUCAACAUCAGAGUAACAAUUUCCAAGGUUAUCUGUAAAGACAUGCAACCCUACAAUGUGGUUGAAAAUCUGGAGUUCUGUGAAUUGAUCCAAACAUUGUGUAAUGUUUACAUUGAAAAUGGCACUUGAUUCAAAUAAAAGGUUAAUACAUUUGCCAUCAAUUGUUGUUUGCUUGUUUAUAAUAUCCAUACUUAAUUAAAACCUGAUUUCCUUACAAGAAACAACAGGGAUCUCAGAAACUUUGCCUGCACUGUCCAGUAAAGUUACUGAAUUGAUUUCAAGUCACUGAAUCGAAUCAUUCGAAAUUAACCCAGAUCGUCCAUGAAUCGGAUCGGCAACCAUGAAUUGUGAUUCGAAUUGAAUCGUUGUUCAAAUUAAUCGUUACACCCAUAGUGCUUAACAUAGCAUUUAAUAUCAUGAAACAGUGAUCAUGGAGGCUACAAGGACAAACACAUUAAUUUGUACGUUCUUUCCCCUCUGCUCUUUUCCCUGUACACCAACAGCUGCACCUCCAUUCACCAGUCCGUCAAGCUCCUGAAGUUUGCAGAUGACACCACCCUCAUUGGACUGAGCUCUAGUGGGGAUGAGUCCGCCUACAGGUGGGAGUCUGACCAUCUGGUGUCGUGUUGCAGCCAGAACAACCUGGAGCUCAACGCUCUAAAGACAGUGGAGAUGGUUGUGGAUUUCCGGCGGAACAGAGCCCCACCCUCCCCCAUCACCCUGUGUGACUCCCCCGUCACUAUUGUGGAUUCCUUCCGUUUCCUGGGCUCCAUCAUCACCCAGGACCUCAAGUGGGAGCUGAACAUCAGCUCCAUCACAAAGAAGGCUCAGCAGAGGUUGUUCUUCCUGAGGCAGCUGAAGAAAUUCAACCUGCCAAAGACGAUGAUGAUCCACUUCUACACGGCCAUCAUCAAGUCCAUCCUCUGCUCCUCCAUCACCAUCUGGUACGCUGCAGCCACAGCCAAGGACAAGGGCAGGCUGCAGCGUGUCAUCCGCUCUGCAGAGAGGGUGAUUGGCUGCAAUCUGCCGUCUCUGCAGGACUUGUUCGCUUCCAGGUCUCUGAAGCGAGCUGAAAAGAUCGUAGCCGACCCCUCUCACCCCGGACAAAAACUGUUUGUGCCCCUCCCGCCACACAAACAGUUUCUUCCCGUCGGCAGUCGGGCUCAUCAACAGAGCCUGGUCCCCCACUGACUGACUAUAACAUUCCACCGGUCACUCCCCUUAACUGUAAUUUAUCACUUUGUCGUCACUCGUCACUUGUUCGCUAGUGCACUUUAUGCUUAAUAUUUUUUUAACUCUUAAUAUUUUACAUUUUUAACUUUAACUUUAUUCCCUUGUUUUAUACUAACCCAUUCUACUAGCAUUUCAUUUUACUUUAUUUUAUUACCUGUCACACUGUCUACUGUCGCGCACCAACCGGCAAGACAAAUUCCUUGUAUGUUUGACAUAUUUUGGUAAUAAAUGUUGAUUCCUGAUUAUAAAUUGAAGACAACACUAUACAUAUAACACUUUUCCUAAUUAAUAACAAUAGAAAAAUAUUUCAGGGAAAUAAACUAUGGAAUUAAAAGUGCAGAAACAACAUGGACAAGUUAGUUUAGAAUUCUGUGUUUGUAGCUGUGGUAGCGGGCGUGGUUAGCUCAGCUGCAGGGGGGAGAGUGGGGGAGUGGUCCAGGGAACGGUGCCGGCAGGUAACGAGCGAGCACAGCUGGACAAUUGAUUAUCUCCCCUGUGAAAAAGCAGUGAGCAGGACCUGGAGCGAGAGAGACUUGGGAGCAGAUGCUCAGGGGCAAGGCCGAGGAGCGCAAAUGCAUGAAACCUGCUCACUGCGAACGUUAAAAAUAAAGAAUAUUGCGCAGUAAACCCGUGCGUCCUUAAACGAACCCCAACGGUGGUAGCUCCAGCCAGCUAGAGUAGCCCUGUCUUCUGAAUCAUUGCAAGGUCAUUUGCAGAUUCUUUAACAAGAUCUGGGUCCAAGCCACUUGAAUUGGGAUAGUGUACCUGAAAUCAGCUGCACCUCACUUGACAAUUCUUUGUGUAAAGGGAGCCAGAGUGCAGAGAACACCCCUCAAUUGCAGAUUCUUUUAGUCAACAUGUUUAUUCCAUUCAUUUUGUUCAGCUUCACAAUCUGUAAACAUGAAACAUACUAUCCCAAAACCCCCAAAAUGUAAAAAAACAACAAAAACUGGGAGAAACCUGAAGGAAAACAGCAGAGAAGUAGGUGUACAGUUUAAGUAACAACUUAAAGAUGUACAGUACAUUCAAUUCCUACGACAGAAAUGAUUCUAAUAUUGUGGAUUAUUAAGCCAGGUGGGAGGCAGAACCACUGUAGGGACAACCUCCAUCAGAUGUAACCUCCAUCCACAACCUGUGAAGAGGAAAAGGCAAAGUUGGGCAGCCAGACACGUCGUCAAAAAGACAAGAAAAUCAGUGCCAGGUGUGGGAUUCUGAGUCUGGCACAAACAGAAUACUUCACCACUUGCCUUGCUGUACAAAGACCUGCAAAAGGUAAAUAUGUAGGAUGGUUGUGUAGGGCUCCUAACUUUGCCCUUUUAAUUUAGACCUCCGGGGGGGACAAUCGCCAGACUGAAGGAAAAAACUUAAAACAGUUCUUAUCAAAAAAGGGUAAGGGAGCAUUGACUUCUGGGCAGGAGGCGCUAUUGGUUUGGCCCGCACCCUCUCACAUACAUGACCAUGAUGGUAGCCAGGUUACUAUACCCACCCGAACAGCACAACAUGUCAGUUCUAUAACAGAUUAAAAGGUACAGCAAUUCAUAGUACAACCAUCCGUACAACAAUUCAAUAACCAAUGAAUGGCACGGCAGUUGAUGGCACAAUAAAUAACAUAGCUAUUGCAAAACCCCCUCGAUACCACAGCAGGUCACGGGAAAAAUCAAAAUGUUUUGACGACAACAACAAGAACAGAGAACCCCCAAAACCCGAAAACUGAGCCAGUCUGCUUCAGCCUGUAGCCGGCCGUCCAGACAAGUGAGUACUCCGCUCGUACCGCCGGACCCGGGUCACGUUGAUCUCACUGACGAUGAGCUCGCUCUGGUUACCAGUGACGGCCAGAACCUUGCAAUAAAAGGUCUGCCAAUAAACAUGCAAACUGGGAUAAAAUCACCGCUGCCCCGGUCCAAAGCCGGCCUCCUUGCGGUGCUCUCAUGUCGGAACCUUUGGGUUUGUGCACUGAGUGGACUUUCCGGGAUAGGUCGUGGUCAACACGAAACGCCCAUUAUGUAGUGUGAUGGCCAGGAUAUAGCCCUGUCCCGUCCACACAUCACUGACCUCUCUGGGGCAUAGCCGGUCCCCUGUGUUGAAAAUGGGCAGCGGCGGUACUGAUCCAUUUACGUUGCAAAAAAGCUUUGUUAUAAAGCUGUAAAGUCCACAGUCUGGUAGCGAGGUUGUUAUUAUGUGUUGUAUGUAAGGGUUCGCCUGAUGCUAGCGUGGAUGGACAGGGACGUUAGCCCGAUGCUAGCGUGGAUCAGUGCUGAGCCUAUGCAGGUCACGUGAAAAAUGAUCUGUAUCCGGCAGAUGAACGAAUCGUUCUCCUCCCGACCGUGUCUACGGGUCAAUGUUUCGUUCACCUGCCAACCGUGCCAUCGGGUCAAUGAUUCGUUCAUCGUUCAUUGUUCACGUGACCUGCAUAGCUCAGCAGUGAGCACUGGUAGCGAGUAGAUCAAUGAUUCGUUCAUCGUUAAUUUUUCUACCCCGAGACUCUGCAAGCGGGAUUGUUGCUUCCAACCACAGCGACAGAAACCCAACCGGGACCGGUUCUGUGGGGAUUCGAUUCAAAGCGACGGAAGGAUCGUUCACGGCACAAGAGGUUCACAAAGCCUCAAGUAGAAACUCUGGAAAACUUUUUGGAUUAACGUCUCCGAUGCUAGUCUGUGUUCGCGUGAGGUGAUGCGGCCCCUGCAGACGUCCAACUAUGGUUUGUAGAUUGUGUGCGGGAUUCGAACGCGACCCGAGCCCGACUGAGUCAAUGUCUCAACUAAUGACACAUUCACGAACGUUUUUUUUUUAUAAAUAGCCUGCCUUUAUUAAACUCAGGCAUCAACAGAUAAAUAUACUCGCUCAAAAAAACAAGCGCUGUUAAACGCACAAACACGUUGAAAAUAAAUUAUAAACAAUGCAAAAACGGAGAAAUAGAAUACACACGACACAAAACUAUGUACAUUGUCCAACCUUCGAGGUUUAAUCCACGUUGUUGUGGACUUCAAUGCCUUAUCGCGCUGAUGUGUCCGAGCCCGACUAUAUUUUCUAAAUAUUUAUCCGAGCCCGACCUGACCCGUCUGGUACCACUUCAUUUUCCACGUGACCUGCAUUCAACCAAUCAUUUCUGCUUCCUUGGCUGAGCCUAUGCAAGUCCCGAUGCGUGGCCACGAGAAAAUGAACGAAUCUUUUUUUGAGAGGACUCGUUACUCUCGAGUCCUUGUAAGGAUUCGUUCAAAAUGAACUAAUCGUUCACGAAUGACACAUCACUAUUGCGGAAACCUCUCUCCGAGGCACCGGUCUGCACCGUGAAAAGUUUCUCAAAGUCUGGGCUGCAGAGUACCGGUUCCUUGCACAAGGAGCCCUUCAAGCUGCCUCACACUCCUCAGUCCAAUCAACCUUGACAUGACAUUUGCGGGUCAGCUCGGCUUUCUCCGAAAAGUUUGGAAUAAAACGUCUGUACCAGCCCUAAAAAGGAACAGUCCUGUGUGGUGGAAGAUUUUGCACAGACAAUCGUUAAGUAAGAAACAAAGGCUCUGAGUCAAGUAUGUAUUUUCUCCGUUUAUUUCCUUGCAAGGGAAAGAGGGUCACAACAGCUACGUGGUCAGUAGACUGUCAAGAACCUCCUUCUGCCCCCAACACAUCGAGGCAGUUCUUAUACCUAAGUUUAGAUAUCGAUGGCGUCAACAGAAACCUUUGACCAUCUUGUUGAGUCUCUACAGCCAGGGUUCUGGGAACAUCUUGUCCAUGUAAGACACGUCAGUUCUUUGACCGUGUCCUUGCUCUCCCAACAUGCUAAAAGAAAGGUGGUCAUAGACAUAACGAACACUUUGUUCCCUCUCUACAGCUGUGACUGCUAGAAACAUGUAAUCCAAGUCGGAGACAUCAGUUCUUAUGUCAGGGCCUUUGUGAUCUAAGCACUUGCAACUAAUAAACUGGUUAUACAAAUGAAGCCUUUAAAAGGGUUACAUAUCAUUUUCCCAUUACACCUGUUUCUUGGUGGUUGGCCUCCACCUUCCCCACUUGCGGGCGGAUGACCCCUCGGCCCAGCACAAAGCCAAAGUAGUACGUCUCUUACUUGGCCAAGGCACAUUUUCUCAGGUGGAUGGUCAGGCCCGCCUCUUUCACCAACGAGAGGACCUGCUGCAGAUGACGCAAAUGUUCUACCCAGCUGGCACUGGCCGAUGUCAUCGGCAGCUGCAAAGCCCUCCGUCCCCGAGGACUCCGUCCAUCAGCCGCUAAAACGUGGCUGGUGCUCAGUGUAACCCAAAUGGAAGUAUGGUGAACUGAAAAUGACCAAACAGCAGUCGGCUCCUUGCUCUCUUUUGACAAGGCACCUGCCAGUAACUUUUGCAAAGGUCAAGGGUGGUCAGGAACUUUGCCUUACCCAAGUCCUCAACCCUGGGCAUGGGGUAAGGAUCAAACUUGGCCUGGGUGUUGACCUUCCUCAAGUCCAGGCAGAACCGUAGGCCACCGUCCUUCUUAGGAACCAGGAUGACUGGGCUGCUCCACUCACUGAAGGAAGGCUCAAUCGCCCCAAGCUGUAACAUCAUGUCCAGCUCCUCCUUCAGGCCAGUAGAAGGCGCUCUGGUAUCCGGUGGGAAGAUUGUCUCACUGGCUGCUAGUCCCUCAGCAAAAUACGGUGCUCCACUAACGCUGUCCGUCCUGGUCGCUCCACAAAGAGGUCUUCAGCCAAGAAAUUGACUGAGCUCCCGCUGUCGACCCUCCGGCCGAUGACUCAGAUCCAACUUGCUCUUCUCGUCCCGGCCAGGCAAGUACUGCUCGCUGUACUCCUCCUCCUCAACGGAACGGCCUCUCACUCUACUUCUUUAGCAUAUUGACGUGGAAAACCUGAUGUUUCCUGCGCCGGUCUGGCAUGUGGACUUCGUAGGUCACCGAAUAGGGUCCUUGCCAUAUUGCCAACAGCUUGUUCUCUGAGCUUGGCAACAACAGCAGGACCUUCUCUCCAGGCUGGAAACAGCGGGUACGGGCGCACCGAUCAUACCAUGCCUUCUGCCGACCUUGCACACACUGAGCCAUAGCAGCUGUGGCUGCAAUCUUCUCCCUCAUCUUCAAGACAUAGGAGAUUAUGUCUGUCUUGCCUGAGAUGUCUUCUUCAAAAUAUCCAGUGGACCUCGAACCUGAUGUUCGUACAGGAGCUCGAAGGGUGAGAAUCCUGUUGAAGCCUGAGAGACCUCUCUGUAUGCGAACAGCAGGUAAGGUAGUCACUGGUCCCAGUCUUUUCCAGUGUCAUCCACAAACUUCCUGAGCAUGUUCACAAGGAACCGCUCCACUAGUCCAUCUGUCUGGAGGUGGUAUGGUGUGGACUCUUUUUAUCCCUAAUAGAUCAUACACUUGUCGGAGGGUUUUGCUCAUGAAGUUGGAGCCCUGAUCUGGUAGGAAUCAAGAAACAUUUAUUGCCAAAUAUGUCAUACAUACAAGGAAUUUGACUUGGCGGUUGGUGCGUGACAGACAGUGUAACAAUAGACAACAAGACAGCAGUGCACAAGUAAUAAAAUAAAAUGCUAAUGCUAUGGGUUAGUAUAAAAUAAGAGAAUAAAGUUCAAAUUAAAAAUAUUUAAAAAAUAAAAGUGCACUAGCGAACAAGUGACGCGUAAGAACAAGUAGAACCUCCCGGGGAAUCCCUACUCUGGAAAACAGGUUGAACAUAGCUGUGGUGACCUCUCUCAUCGGGAAAUCUUCUGGGUAUCUGGUUGCAUAGUCAGACAACUAAAUGACUAUUCCCUGCCUUGCUGCUCUCCAGGGGCCCCACUAUGUCUAUCCAUUGAAAGGGAAUCAACGGGGCAUGGGCAAGGCCUUUGCCUCCCGAUAGCUGGCACUGGGGACAGGACUUACAAAAGCUCUUCACUUCUCCGAACAGCCCUGGACAAUGGAAACGCCUGCCUAUUCUCUGCAGUGUUUUCCUAUGAGCUAUGUGUCCCGCCCAUGGUUUAGUGUGACCUAGCUCCAGCACCUCUCUUCUAAACUUGUGGGGCACCACUAGCCGAAGUCCCUCCUCACUCUGCCUAUAGAGGAGGUUGUUCUGAACAAUGUACCCCUCUUUCCCAAGUGCCGGAACCAAACCAGAACCGUCCUUUGCCUUCUUAAACAAUGGGCUAAGGGUGGGGUCUGCACCCUGUUCUUUAGUAAGAUAAGCCCUAAAAGUUACAUCCACCUCCGACAAACUCGGGGAACCAACGUCCCGACUCUGGCUGCAUAUGAGAAUGUUCCAAAAUCCCUCCAACCCUUUGUCUGCGCUCGUCAUACCUCUCCUCAGUAGCGUAUAUGGGCUGUACCGGGAUAUCCUCUCCAUGGUACGACAAUUCGGCCAGGUCUUCUUGGUGUUGCCCCUAGCUCUAGUGACUACCCCACACCAGGCAGUCUUGCUCACUAGCUCGGGCAAUACUGGGAGAUCCUGACACCAACAACACUGGAUAGGGGAGUUUUGGGACUAGUCCUACCCUAAGCAGGUUUGUCUGACCACACACCCUAACCAACACAUCUGAUGUGCUGUGCUCGCUCUGAUCACCAUGAACACAAAAGACCGUAAGUUUGUCAUUAAAGUUAAAGUUCUUGAACUGAACUACUUCUCUUUCCCGGAAAAGAUUCGCUUACCCAGGACCUGACAGUCAACUUUGGAAACUCCGUACUAACGCCCACUUUGACCGCUAAGAACCUCGGCGUCACACUCGACAGCAAACUCUCCCUGACUCCCAACAUCGCCGCGACAACGCGAUCCUGUAGAUACACGCUCUACAACAUCAGGAGAAUACGUCCCCUUCUCACUCAGAAGGCAGCGCAAGUACUGAUUCAGGCUCUUGUCAUCUCCCGCCUGGACUACUGCAACUCCCUCCUGGCAGGUCUCCCUGCUACCGCCAUUCGACCUCUGCAGCUCAUCCAGAAUGCAGCAGCUCGACUGGUCUUUAACCUUCCCAAGUUCUCCCACACUACUCCACUCCUCCGCUUUCUUCACUGGUUACCGUCAGCUGCCCGCAUCCAGUUCUAAACAUUGGUGCUCACGUACCAUGCUGUGAAUGGAUGGGGUCCAGCUUACAUCCAGGACAUCAGUAAGGCCGAGAUCCUCCUUGUGGCAGUGGCAAGUGGGUGGCAUCAAACUUGAGAGCCCCACCCCCUACACGGAACCCGCCGGUCCAAACCUAAAAUUAGCCUCUGAAAUAAGAAGACGGGGGCUCACGUGUCUCAAAUAAAAUUAAAUAAAAUUAAAUAUUUACAGCAGCUGACCUGUCGUACAAAUAACAUUUGUUUCUGGGAAAAAUUGGCUCCUCCCACCCAGCGUGCCGUCGUGACGCCGACUGAUUUACUGGCGAUUGCCGCUGCCUGCCACAAAGUUGCCACCCACUUGCCACUGCCACAAGGAGGAUCUCGCUGUCACUCCAGGACCUGGUCAAACCCGACAUUCCGACCCACACUCUCCGCUCUGCAUCUGAUAAACUGCUUGUUCCUCCUCACUGAGAGCAAAACACUAGAUCACCACUCUUUGCUGUCCUGCUCCUAAAUGGUGGAAGGAGGUUUCUGAAGACAUCAGGACCACAGAGAGCCUUCACAUCUUCCGCAGCAAACUAAAGACACACCUCUUCAGACUCUACCUCCACUAACACACUAACAAAUUGUAGCACUUAAAUCUAUAUCAAUAAUAAUAUAUAGCAAAUUGUAAAUUGGCUUAUUUGAGGAAAUUGCACUUUCUUGUUUC
ensembl:lncRNA